rnacentral:piRNA from 1 species
UGAAUCCAUGUCCAUUGCUGUGUAAC